ACGGAAGGCAGCAGUGGGGAAUAUUGGGCAAUGGGCGAAAGCCUGACCCAGCAACGCCGCGUGAAGGAAGGAGGUCUUCGGAUUGUAAACUUCUUUUAUGAGGGACGAAGGACGUGACGGUACCACUUGAAUAAGCUCCGGCUAACUACGUGCCAGCAGCCGCGGUAAUACGUAGGGAGCAAGCGUUAUCCGGAUUUACUGGGUGUAAAGGGCGUGUAGGCGGGACAUCAAGUCAGAUGUGAAAGCACGAGGCUCAACUUCGUGUCUGCAUUUGAAACUGACGUUCUUGAGUGUUGGAGAGGUUAACGGAACUCCUAGUGUAGCGGUGAAAUGCGUAGAUAUUAGGAAGAACACCAGUGGCGAAGGCGGUUAGCUGGACAAUAACUGACGCUGAGGCGCGAAAGUGUGGGUAGCAAACAGGAUUAGAUACCCUGGUA
rnacentral:rRNA from 1 species